rnacentral:rRNA from 1 species
UGGACGUCAAGUCAUCAUGGCCCUUAUGUCCAGGGCGACACACGUGCUACAAUGGCCGGCACAGCGGGAAGCGGAGGGGCGACCCUGAGCGGAUCCCUUGAAAGCCGGUACCCAGUUCGGAUUGCAGUCUGCAACUCGACUGCAUGAAGUUGGAAUCGCUAGUAAUCGCGGAAUCAGCCAAGCCGCGGUGAAUACGUUCCCGGGCCUU